CAAAAGAAUGAAGGGAAGUGGUUAAGAUGUGAGAAGACUGUGGCAAAACAGCCUUAGGAGAGAGAACGCAUCUGUGAGGAGUUGUGACAACCCCAAACCCCAUCUAGACGCUGGAGCAGAGGAACAAACGUGCUGAUGAUAAAUGAAAUUUGUUUGAAAUUACAAAGAAAGAGGCGCAUCAAGCAUCAUCAAGGGGAUUCCACAUCAGCCACAGGUUUCACUAAUUGAAGACAGACAUUCAUUUCGCUACAAAGGCUAAAUUUGAAACCCGGAGCUCAGACUUUCCCUGAUUACUGUCGUGUCGCGCUGACAGAUAGACUCGGAGUUCAUUCGCUCCACUGAGGAUGGCUGUAUAAACCCAACAGGCCUUUAGGAACAACAGGAUUUAACGCAAGGGGCGACCACACAAUUCCUUGCUCUCAUCUGGGGAUCAAUAUAUACAGACGCCCCCUGCUUCAUCACUAAUGGGCAUGAAGAUGUGGGAGAGAGUCACACUGCUAAGCAAACCUGCAUCCUGACAUAUUUGUUCACGGGUUUAAGCCAGUGAUGUCUUUUAAAAAGAAAAAAAAAAGGAAAAAAAAACUUCUAAAAAUGUAAUUCAAAACAAAUAUUCAUGUUAGUUUCAUAUUGCUUUAAAAGGUAAAUAUAUUCAUAUCUUCUUAAAAUAUAUAAACAAACAAACAUACAAAUACAUUUUUGUCCCUUUGGCCUAAAAUGAAGAGAGAAUGGGAUCCAAAUGUUAAGAAAUUAAUAACUUAAUAUUAACAUAAUAAAAUAUAGUAAUUUUUGUUGUGCAACUAUCAAAAC
rnacentral:lncRNA from 1 species